rnacentral:lncRNA from 1 species
AAGCUCUGACCCUCAAUGUGACUGUAUUUGGAGAUGGGGCCUUUAAGGAGGUAAUUAAGAUUAAUGAGGUCAUAGAGGUAUGUCCCUAAUCCCAUAGGACUGGUAUCCUCAUAAGAUGAAGACAUCCCAGAUGUCUCUCUCUCUCUCUCUCUCUGUGCACACGCAGAGGAAACGCCACAUGAGCACUCGGUGAGAAGGCGGCCCUCUGCAAACCAAGGAGGGAGGCCUCACCACAAACCAAGCCUGCUGCCAUCUUGCUCUUACACUUCCAGCCUUGAACUUCCACAACUGUGAACGGGUGAAGGCACUGAGAAGCGAGGCCAUCUGAAGGCAGUGCCGUGGAUGUCGCUGAGUGGACUGUCUGACGUGUCUGUCCCCAUCCCGGGGAGGAGAGCUACGUAUGGCCGUUGAGCAGUUCCCAGACCCGGGCUGAAUCACUUCUGCUUUUGGGAGGGGACUCAGUUGCCACCACUGUCCAGAAAAGAGCAGUGAUCGCUGUUGGCGGGGCUCUUGAGAGGAUGGAAGGAGCUGAACUGAAGGUCCAUACCCGGCCCGUGAGCCUCGGUCUCGGAAGCUCUGCUCGUGUUUGCCUGUCACCGAAAGCUCAGGAGAAGAAAGUGCCCCAGGGCUGGAGAUGGGAAGGGAGGAAGUGAAAGUCAAAUCACGCCGUGCGUUUCGGUUUAAAAGCCACCGUAGGAACAAGCCUUGCCAGGGGAAAAAGUUGAAACUAAAUGAGGCUUUCAGUUUUCUGCGGGUUUCAGUGAUUCAAAUGAGCCCCAGGGCUCCCUUUUGUCUCCCGGGUGUUGCAGAGGUCACACCCCGGGUUGGCAUGAGAUAAAACGCUGCUGUGCACACAGAAACCGCUUGUGCACUAGCCAGGCUCUCUCCGAAGGCCAAGUGCCCGAGCCACUGCUGUUGUUUCUGUUUUAAUAUUCCCGGAGUGUUGAAAAGUGAGAUGCCGAAACAGAACUACAUUGUAGUGCAGUUUUUAACAUUUAUGUUGAAAAAAUUAGUAAUUUUAACACGCAUUUAAAUAACUGCGAUAUAAUUAUCUUGCUUUUCAAAAGACGACCACGUUUAUAAGCAACGUUCAUGUAGGAUGCGCUCUAAAGAGUGGGACCCAAAUUUAAGGCUGUGUGAUGAGUGACUCCUUCCAGUCCUUAGAGUGGAUGUCACCGCACGGACAGGCUCAUCUGGAAAUGGUGUCAGAAGCCUUUAUUCGAGGGAGCCUUUCAAAACUGCACGGCUGAGCUCAAAUGCUCUCCUGCCCCAGCCGCCCAGCAACUUGGCCUCCAGCCCCACCACAGAUACCCCGCUAUCGAGUGUGUCCUUAUGACUGUGAAGCAAGAAGGAGAAAAAUAAGGAGGAUGGAGAGGUCCAGUAUGGAGUGCUCCUUUCACAAAGAUUUUCCAGUACCUACUGUGUUCGGAGGCAAUGACCCGGUGCUGUGCUUGAGCUCAUAGUCAGGGUUCGCAUCUGAGAGUUUCAUUCUCUCCUCACGUGUGGAAUCUCUGCAACGCUCAGCUGUCUCCUUGGGUACCUCAUUUGUGAGGCUCCUUGUUGGCUGUCGUGAGCAUGCAAUGGCUUAUACACAUCCAGUUACCGGAGUGGUGCCGGCACAGGGAAGGACCAGCACACACGUGCCGCCUGCAGAGGCUUAACUCCCGCUCCUCCGUGCAUUCUGCAUUCCACCCACUCUGCAAGCUGCUUCACCUGAAACCACUGCCUGGCAGUACGGGAAGGUUUUGGUAAAGCACGAGGAAAUGCUACUCCAUGGAUGAGGGGAACAAAGGCAUCAGUUUUAUUAAGGAAACUCUUACAAAUCCAUCCAUCAACCAUUCGACAAGCUGCACUGUGCUUGGUGCUAGCUAGGGGCUGCAGACACCGUAGUGGAUGAAAAGUGCAUAAGUAAUCAGUGUACAGCUCAAUUAAUUUUCACAGCAUGAACACACGUGUCAUUCAUACCCAGGUCAAGAAUCAGAAUCAGCAGCGCCCAGAUGCCUGCCUGUACCCACUUCUAUGCACAACCGCCUCCCCGGGGGAAAUAGUACUCUAACUUCUAAAACCACAGAUUAAUUUUGCCUGUUUUUAACCUUUAUAAAAAAGGAAUCACAACAGGUUGUCUUUUGAGACUGGCAUUUUGUUUUUACUCGUUAUUAUGUUUGUGAGAGUCGCCCUUUCUUGUGUAUAAGUUGUAGCUUAUUUAUUCUCACUCCUACAUGUUAUCCCAUUGUGUGAAUGAAUACACCAUGGUCUUGUAUCCAAUCUACUGCUGAUGGACAUUUGAGUUGUUUGCAGUUUGGGAAUAUUACAAAUUACACUGCAGCUGACAUUCUUGUAUGUGCCAUCUGUUGUGUAUAUGCCUGCAUUUCUGUUGGGUGUUUACUUAGGAGUGGAAUUGCUGAGUAUAAGGGAUGGGUAUAUUCAGUUUGAACAGAUACUAUCAAGCAGCUUUCCAAAGUAAUUGUAACAAUUUAUACUCUGCUCAGCAGAGUAUGAGAGUUCUGGUUGCUCUAAAUUGUCUGUCUUUUCCACUUUAGCCAUUUUGGAGAGUGUCUUGUGGUAUCUGUAUUAUGACGUUAAUCUGCAUUUCCCAAUGACUAAUGAAGUCAAAUGCCUUUUCACAUGUUUAUUUUCUGUUUGGAUAUCUUCUCUUGUGAAGUAUCUAUUCUGACAUUUGCCCAUUUUCCUGCUGAGUUCUCUUCCUUUUUCUUAUUGAUUUGAAGGAGCACUUUGUAUGUUCCAGGUAAGAGUCCUUUGUCAGUUAUAAGUAUUGAAACUGUCUUCUCCCAGUCUGUGGCUUAUCUUUUUACUCUUCUAAUGGUUUUAAAGAACUGAAGUUCUUAAUUUUAAUGUAGUCCAAUUGAUCGAUAUUUUUCCUUUUACAGUUACUGCUUUCUGUGUCUUAAGAUAUCUUUGCCUGAGAUGGUUCUUGUGGACGCAGCUAGAGCGAGGCAGGGAAAUUGUUAUGCACCGUGUUGCCUGUACAAGCAAAAAUACAGUCAGGAUAGCUACACGUGACCUCAAGAAAGCAAAGCACGAGCUGUCUGUUCAUGCCUUCUUUGGGAAGACCUGCUGGGAGGGACACAUGAGGAAAAACCCAGAGACCCCUGUGAACUGUGUGUUUUCCAAGUGCUCUGAGAGGGGCAAUACAGGGUGUGGGAAAGAGAAGUACAAAUUGAUGAAAUGGCAAAGUGCACCAGAUCAGGAAAUGAAGGAUUGGAGACCAGCUAAGGGAGGCAACAAGAAAGAUCGUACUAUCCCAAAUACCCUCAUACUCCACUUGGCUUCUUCCUCUUCUGCUUAGACCUCUGCCUAAGGUCAAAUCCAUAAACCUAGGCAUUUCCAUUGGAGACCUGGCCAAAUGGCUGGUGACAUGUUGUGGUAUGCAGAAUUCCUAUCACUCACAUGAUCGUGUGAAGUUCUAUGGCAGAGUUGACCUUAAUAUAGGAGAUUAUCCUGGUGGGUGUGAUUAAAUCAAUGGAAUUUUGCUAAGCAGAGAGCUUCCUCCAGCUAAUGGCAGAAGAGGAAGCCAGAGAGAUUUGAAGAAUGAAGGGGAUUUGGCUUGUAGAUGCAGGACACCACGUGAGAAGAAAGUCAGGCAACCUUAAAGAGCUGAGAGAGGGCCCUGGCCAGCAACCAUCAAGGAAAAAAGGUCCUCAGUCCUACAACCACAGGAACUGAAUUCUGCCCACAAUGUGAACGAGCCUGGAAGUGAUGUCUACUCAGAGCUGGCCGAGGACUCAGCUUGGCUGAUAACUUGAUUUCUGCCUUGUGAUUCCCUGAGCAGAGAAGGCAGCUACACCGUGCUGGACUUCUGACCUACAGGACUGUGAGCUAAAAAUGGGUGCUAGUUACUCUGCAAAGUUUGUAGUAAUUUGUUACACAGUGACAGAAAAAUAAAACACGUGGACUAGUUUGAGUCCUAGUGAAAACUUACCUUAUAAUAAGGCAACAAAGUUGAAGAUGAAUAAGAAGGACGUUGCCCACUGUAACCUAAAAGAAAGUGGUCGGUUAAAGGGCCGUCUAACAUUCCCCAGAGAAAAAGCUGGAGGAGGAAGAUGAAGAGUAUGGGAGAGGGAUAAAGAGGACGGGGAGGGGAGUAACUAAGAACACUGUGCACCUGCCUCCAUGGGAAUCCGUGAGGACAAUGCAGCAAGUGACCCAUCUCCCAUUUGAGAUGGUGUCUGUUGCUCUCACCGAGUUUAAUUCCACAGCUGGAACAUGACCACAUUAUAGUUCUUGAGAUGCUCUAGAAACCCCGGGUGGUUUCCGUGCUAUAUUUUAUGAGUGUCGCAAGCACCCUGAAAUGCUAUCAAAGUCACUCAUAUGUUCACAUAUUUUCAAAAUAAAAAGACACUCUUUUGUUGUCCUCACUCCAUGAUCUUAGAGAUUCAUGUAAGAGGGCAAUUAAAAUGUUUCUGGAAUUUAAAAAAUUUAUUUGUAAGGUGGUGUUACAGAUUGGAAAUCCUGAGCUAUCCACUGUAUAAUCUAUAACUUUGUAAAAAGAACGAGACACUAGAGCCUCCUGUGGUCCACGCUGUGCUGUGAUGCUGUGAUGCUGUGGGAGCUGGCACGUUUUCUAGGUGCCUCAGGGAUGAGGCCAAACCCGUUGACGCUGCUUCUGGUUGUCUUGUUUUUCUAUCUAGAGACAGAACGUUCUGCUGACAUUCUUAGGUAUGGAAAAGGGACGUCGGCUGGCAUGAGAAGUGCUCUGAUUAUUUUUAGUUAAAUAUGGUAGUUUUAAAACAAACUGUAAAACUCUUUAUUGUCAGAAAAGUGCAUAGCCACUGCUUCAAUGAAAGUGCAUCGCCUUCUGACCUUAAACACACCAUUUGUAACUUUCUGUUAUUUUUGUGUGUGUUCUGGAAGCUAAGACUUUCUUUUCAUGUCCAGAUCUUCCUCGACUUACAAUGGGGUUGCCUCCUGAUAAACCCAUCACAAGUUGAUAAUAUCCUGGGUUGAAAAUGCAUUGAAUACACCUACCCAGCAAACAUCCUAGCUUAGCCGAGCCCACCUUGAACAUGCUCAGAACACGUGCAUUUGCCUACAGCCGGGCGGAAUCAGCCAACACAAAGCCUAUUUUAUGAUAAAGUCUUGGAUGGCUCAUGUAAUUGACUGAAUAUUAUACUGAAAGCAAGAAACGGAGUGGUCAGAUGGAUAUGGCACGGUUGUAAGUGUGUCGGUUGUUCAUCCUCGUGGUCGUGGGGCUGAGUGGGAGCUGCGACUUGCUGCUGCCGCCCAGCAUCACGGGAGAGGAUUGUAAGUCACGGAUCAUCCGUAACUGUUUUUCUUGAAGUGUGACAUCAUCCAGAGAGUGUAGGGAUAGCCAGCUUGGGGCUCGGGCAGUUGUCACAAAGGGACACACCUGGGUGAGAAGCCCACAGCCCGAGAAGCCCUGUUCCUUUCCCUCCUGCCCGCCCCCCACUGUUAAAGCUGCUCCUUCUUCCCAAAGAUAACCUCCAUCCUUACUCCUAAGAUAAAGGUUUGAUUUCUUUCAGAAUGCUGAAGUGUUUUUGAAGCAAAGUGGAGUAUUACAUUUUUCAAGUGGGAAAAAAAAAAGGGUCAGGAAGAUCUUUUUCUGUUUUCUUUUACAAGUUUUAUUGUUUUACCUUUUGCAUUUAGGUCUCGAUCCAUCUCAGUUGAACUUCUGGUGUGGUGUGAGGCCGGGUAAUGGUCCAUCCUUGCCUCCCCCGGGAGCCCUGUGUCUUCACCUUGCCCCUCCCCUCGGCGGGUCCUCAACACCUCUUGCGAGACUGCUGAAAACGCUGAGAUGAUUUUCCGGGGCUUGCUGCUUCUCUUUUUCAGUCUCCACUCCUCAUAUACCCCCAACUCAGGAAAUGCCUGAAGGGAAAUCCAACCAUGUGAUGGAGGCCCCCCAUGUCUCUCAGAAAUUCUCUGGUAUCUCUGUCCCCAGACGCCCACCUUCUGCCACGACCCAGAAUGGGCGAAUGUCCUGGGGGCAGCUGCUGGUCAGCUUCCUCCCUGAGGAUCCACUCACUCCAGUGUCAGCGGCUUGGGUCCUGCUGCCCCAGCAGCUCUCCAGUGCCUCCAAACAGAGAUCUCUGCAUUUAAUGGGACCUUGCCUGCUUUGCUGGACAGAAGUGCUGGUCUGCGACAGGGAACAUCCCUCUCGGGAUUUUGGCUCAAGGAAAAAAGAGAAACAGCCACGCAGAACAGAGGAGGGCCCCAAACCCGAGAGGACAGGCUACCGGAGGAGGUCUUCAACAGGGCAAGAGUGGAGAAAAUGAAAUGAGCUGAAGAGUGCGUAUGAAAUUUAUUUUAUUCAAGUGAAGAUUUAUGCUGGCAGAUUUCAUUCCGGCUGACAUUGACCUUUUCGGACGAGAUGAGAGUUUCUGCAGGUCAGGACUCUGGGAGCAGCCUCACUAUGCUGUUCUGGCUCAGGAUCUCCAAUGAAGCUGUGGUCAAGAUGUCGGCUGGGCUUAGUCAUCUGAAGGCUCGACUGGGGUGGAGGGUCUGCUCCCAAGAUGGCACACUCCAUGCCUGUUAGCUGGAGGCCUCAUCUCCUCCCAGUGUGAGCCUCUCCACUGGGCUGCUUGAGUGUCCUUGAGACAGGCCACUGCUUCCACCAGAGCAAGCAACCCAAGGGAAAGGGAGACAGAGGCCACAGUGGCCCUCAUACUCCAGCCUCCAGUGUGAUCUCCCACCAUUCCUCCUGGGUUCUGCUGGUUACACACAUAAUCUUGGUCCGUUCAGGAUGCUAUGACAAAAUACCACAAACUGGGUGGCUUAUCAACAACAGAAACCUGCUUCCCUCAGUUCUGGAGGCUGGGGAGUCCAAGAUCAAGGUGCCAGCAUGGUCACGUUCCCGUGAGGGCUCUCUGCUGCGUUCAUUGCUGACACCUCACUGUGUCCUCACAUGGUGGAAGGGGCAGAAGUCUCUGUGAGGUCUCUUUUAUAAGAACACUAAUCUCAUUCAUGAGGGCUCCAUCCUCCUGACCUAGGCACCACUCAAAGGCCCCAUCUCCUAACACCACCGCGUUGGGCAAUAGGAUUUCAGCAUAUGAAUUUUAGGGGGACAGAAACAUUCAGAGCACAGCACAGACCAACCCUGACACAAUGUGGGAGGGGACUAUAGAGGGGUGUGAAUACCAUGAGGUGGGAUCAUUGGGACUAUCUUGGAGACUGGCUGCCACGAAGUGGCAGGUGGCUGAGCAUUAGCCUCGCCCCUCUGCCAUUUCACCUGAAUUCUGCUGGGAAAAAGGGGCCAUGUCCAAAGGCUGUUAUCUUAAACUCCUGCCCGGCAGUCUGAAGGCACGGGAAGUCAGACUCAGGGUAAUUUUCAAGUCCAGCCAAUGCAUUUUUAUUAGACACUGAAUUAGUUGGCUGACUGCAUUGUCUAACCCCGGAACAAGCAUCUACAUAAAGGAGGCCAUGAAGUGGCUCUACUUACUACGUCCUUAGUGCCAAGUGUCACCAGGUCACGGGGCAUGGGUUGUCUUAGAGAAAGAUAAGCGGAAAGCAAUAGAUUGUGAUGUAUAAUCAAGCAGUGGAAAGUGCAACACAGACUAAAUGUGGAGGAAUUUAGGGCUUCCUGCUGGUUAGCAAGAAUACAAAGCUUCCUGAAGGCGUAGGUUUGUGGAGAACCGAAUAAAGAAACACAGGAGAGAUGAAAGGGGCUGAGGCUAGGAGGGCAGCCCCGAGCAGCGGCAGGAGGGCAAGAGGCUGAUUCAGAAGCCUCGGAGGCUUGAGUGAGGCUGACUUCCAUCCUCAGGGGAAGGCACAGAGGGUCCCGCUCGCCCUGUACAUCGGGAAGGUGGAAGGAGGCAGAGUUAUCAACAGAGGGAGGCCAAGCCAUGGGCGUCUCUCAGACGUCCACCAUGUGCAAUGCUCUUCCCAUGUGAUUCCAUUUAACCUCCAAACGACCGGAGGAGGCGAGGGUAGCCUUCUCUCUAGAGAAGUGGGUUUGGAACCCAGGGUUGUUUGCAUCCAAAGCACACACUGUUUUCACAAGACUCUCACUGUCUCUGUAGGGAUGGAUCAGCUGAAACCUUCAAGAAACAGACAGCACCGGGACCGGAGUGGGAGGAGGGGGCAGCAGGCUGUGUAGCCGGCACGGAGCCAGUGGGUAAACUUCCUCCUUUCUGCCUCAAGCCUACAAGGCAGACUUUGACCCUUCUCGAGACUUCAUAAAGGAACAGCUGUCCACCAUUUCCGCCCUACCUCCUGUCAAGACACGCCCAGUGUGGACCAGGCCCCGCCGCCCCGCAGACGGAGAGGGGAGAGAGAUUCACUUCACGCCCAUUUCAAAGUGGACGCAUUCGCCUUAAACGACCUUAAGUUUAAAGGCAGUUUCUCACGUGGAACUGAGAGUGGCUGUUUAAAGAAGAGAUGGCAAUUAUGUUAUCAAAUUAUAGUGUGGAAAAUAAAACACAGGAAGCAUUUCGUGCUUAGACAGUGGAGUGUAGAAGAGUCAGGAGCCAGGUUCAAAUUCUGGCUCCACAUCCAAACAGAUCUGUGACUUAGAGCAAAGUACAUAAGCUCAAGGCCUCACCUGUGGAACAUGGAAGAUGAGGCCUACAUCGUUAGGAUAUUGUUUUCUGAGGAAGAUUGGCCCUGAGCUAACAUCUGUGCCAAUCUUCCUGACUUUUGUAUGUGGGUUGCCACAACAGCAUGGCUGAGGAGUGGUGUAGGUCCAUGCCCAGGAACCAAAGCCACGAACCCGGGCCACUGAAGCAGAAUGCGCUGAACUUAACCACUAUGCCACAGGGCUGGCCCUAAAGACGGUAACUUUUAAUACUACUGUGGGUAGCACAUAGGAGGUGCUGUAUAAACCAUAGUUACUUUUAUUAAAGUGAAUUGUUUUUUUCCAACAAAAGAUUUAUCAUUCCAGCUAUGGUCAGCCUUGGCUAGAAAUAUAACUUGUCUGCAUUUUUAGAUAGACACUUAUGAAUGGUGGGGUGUUUACCUAAGAGUACAGGCUGCAUUCGUAGUUACACUGUGCUUCCAUGGGGUGGGGGGAGCAGCUUCAGAGCUGGCGGGUGCCAUGAAUGUUCCCAAGUUGGAGAAACACACAGAAAGAACCAAGGGUGGUUAAAAAUACUAUAAUCUUCUCUUAGAGUGAUGGCAAGAUGGGGGAACAUGUGGAUAAGAAUGGUGUACGCGUUGGGGGGUGUGGACAUGGAGCAAACCAAAGUUCGAGUGGAGGAGUGAAUGGACCAAUGGAUUUGAAGGUACUUUGAAAAGUGUAUGUGCCAUGUGCAUUAUCGUCAGGGGCCCGCCGCCAGUUCUCAGCGUGUUAGUGGCAGAAGAAGGGAAAACGGAACACAGGGUUCCUAAAGCCCAGCCAGAUGCUGUCUCCCGCACCAUGCCGUCCUGGAACGUGGAUGCCACCCCUCUCUUCUGACAUUUCAUGGUUGUUUAGAGUUAGCUGUAGCGCAGCCCGCAUAUGUCUAGUGCCUGGUGGGAGAACGUGAAUUAAUUAAAGUCUCCUCAUGCUUUUAUUCACCAGCUUCUCUAGGAUUUUUGUUGUAAGGCCAAGUUAUCAGAGACACCACGGCUUUCCUCGGCGGCCCGCCAGCACGGGGGAAGGAAGACACUCAGCCCUUAGGAGAGAAGUUCAAGAGGUUAGAGCUUCUGGGGACAGGAACAGCCCAGCCUGAGAGCUUUGAGCACCUUUCCCCUGAAGAAGGACAGAGUGUGUGUGUGUGUGUGUGUGUGUGUGUGUGUGUGUGUCCGGGGUGUUCAGUCAACCAAAAGGAAUCCUGCAUAGCUUGACCUUUGCUGUAUAUGUGGAAUGGAGCAGCCUUUUUUUCCUUCUUUUUUUUAGAUAGAGUGACUGUAAAGAUGGUAAAGAAAAUUACAAGCUUCCUGAAAAAGAAGGAUUGGAAAUUAGUCUCGAAACUGCUUUGCAAUUAUGUCUGUAUAUUUUAGAUGUUUUGGCUUAAACUAAAGGUAGUAAAAAUAUAUAGUUUCUGCUAUGAUGUGGGUUUAGCUUUUGUCAACAGACGUUUGUAGACUACAUUACAGAGGCGGGUUCAGACGUUAUCUAAUUAUGUAUUAGACUUAAGAACGUGGGAGCAUUUCCAGAUAAGACUAAGGUGACCCCUGAAU